rnacentral:rRNA from 1 species
AUUGAACGCUGGCGACAUGCCUUACACAUGCAAGUCGAACGGCAGCACGGGUGCUUGCACCUGGUGGCGAGUGGCGAACGGGGGAGUAAUACAUCGGAACAUGUCCUGUAGUGGGGGAUAGCCCGGCGAAAGCCGGAUUAAUACCGCAUACGAUCUACGGAUGAAAGCGGGGGACCGUCUGGCCUCGCGCUAUAGGGUUGGCCGAUGGCUGAUUAGCUAGUUGGUGGGGUAAAGGCCUACCAAGGCGACGAUCAGUAGCUGGUCUGAGAGGGCGACCAGUCAGCCUGGGACUGAGAAAGGGCACAGACUCCUACGGGAGGAAGCAGUGGGGAAUUUUGGACAAUGGGCGAAAGCCUGAUCCAGCAAUGCCGCGUGUGUGAAGAAGGCCUUCGGGUUGUAAAGCACUUUUGUCCGGAAAGAAAUCCUUGGCCCUAAUACGGUCGGGGGAUGACGGUACCGGAAGAAUAAGCACCGGCUAACUACGUG